GUAUGAAACGUCCGCAAUGACAAGACGAACUGUGCACGCCGCUAUGGGGUGAAUACGCUGGGCGCUGGUUGCACGGAUAGUCCAGGAAGUAGCGUCGUCACUUUUCGAAGCGAAAGGCUAAGUUGCGCAGUCAUAACGGAUACGGCGGCGCCAGUGUCCACAAGCGCUGAUGCGUGAACACAAACACGCCUAUCACAUUCGAUGGGCUUCGUUGAAUGCUUUCAGAUUUCGAUAGCGUCGCAGGAUGUGCCUCGUGGACUGCGACGACUAGUUUUUCCCCUCGCGAGCGAAGGGACGAGGCCGCAUCGGCGAUAGUGAGCGACGACGUGGAGAAGGCGAGCGGCGGGCCUUGGGCGUGCUGCCGGUGGCAAGUCACAGGGUGGGUCAUCGUAUGGGCGGGGAGAACCCACAAGACGACUUGUCAGCUGAGAAAGAUUACCGGACGGCGACAUGCCCGACCGCAGGCGCUCGCGAGGAAGUACGAGAACCACCCUAAUGUCUUUCACGUAGACGCGGCCAGCACCGCAAGAAGCACCGUAUUUGUCACCAGCGUAGUCGACAGCCACGGAACCUAAACAAAUGCGUCGUCGGUCUCCAGAGCGAGCGCUGCCGAGGCAGAGGAACCAGCGAUAAUGCUAGGCAUCACGACGAGACACACUGGGAGUGCGUCAUAGUUCUGGCGGACUCAGACAGCAUGCAGAAAAUUUUCCAGGGCCGCACAUCGCAUUCUGAGUGGAGCGCACCAGCUCCCAUUAUGCAUAGAAAUCGUGUGGAUUGUGGGGAAUGAGUCCUUACGCGGUAAUCGGAAGGCACACGCGUAUACGCCCGAGCGCUGCACACCACAGGAGCCGCGAGAGGGCCGCGCCGAGCAGUUCAACCCCGAGCCCAACCUACACACACAUCCUACAACACUAGCGCCAUUCACGAAGAACAUUACCGCCUCCUCACAAUGACCUGACGCGAGAGGAAGCCGUCAUACGGCGAAAACGCAUAUCCACACUUGAGUCUCUAUCACGCCAUACACCUUGCGCUGUAUUGCUAUAAGCGCCCACACUGCGUUCAAUGCGCGCGCUUUACCACAUGGUAUUGGCUCGCGCUAGCACACCACAACUCAUACCCACAACAUGCCCCGCCACCCGGCAACGGGAGGCAGCGCUGUCCAGCUCCGACUCGACGGACCAGCUCAACCUGGUCAACCGAGCGAGAAGGGCAGCUCAGGCCGCCAGACUCCUGGACUGAGGGGACCACCCACUGCACAGCGGAAGAGCUAUACAUACGCUCGUGUGCUCUUUUCUGUAAAGUUUACUCUCUCUCCCCCUCUCGAUGAGAGAAAUGAAGGUCUAUAGCUUCUCCCCUCUUUAAUAUUGCGCUCAAUCCGUGGCACUGAUGACUUUACUGUGACGUCAUCGCCACCUCGUAUACUUCGCUUUCUGCCUACGUACGUAUACUUACCAUUGUGCCCACAGUCUGCGUGCUUCAGAGACCGCAGCACCAACUUCUUGCGAACGUGGAGAUCUACAUAUUUAUAGAUUUUG